CCGCUGGGCACGGUCCAGGCACCGGGCAACGGAGACGCCCCGACCACGGGCGAAGUGGGCACGGGGGAGCGGCUAGCUUGGGAGGAGGGCAGAGGAGCCGAGUGGAGACAGCAGAAGGACCACCCAGAUACAGAAGAGACAGGAAAGCGUGAGACAUGAGGCAAGCACAUCCCGGUCAGCCCAGACGACCCCUCACAUCCCAAGAAGCCACAACCUGAGACCUGCUCACCCACAAGCCUCCACCUCUCACUCCUGGUUUUCCCAGGGAUGUCUUCUGGGACCAUCCUACUUCAAAUGAUAUUCCCGGGUGUCUGGAUAGCUCACUCAGCAGAAAUCCUGCGGUUAUGAUGCUACGAGGUAACAUCUGGCAGGAAGGCCCUUUUAACAUGUGAGAGUAUAACAGGCUACAGAGGAUGAUCUGAGAGGCUUGGUGAGUCAUCUGUGCCCGGACAGCACAAACGGCAAAUGCAAAGAGCAGAGCCACACCACUACUAGACACAGCACUGGGCUGUCUGUCCAGGGCAGUCUGCGUGGACCAUUGCUGCUGCCCCUGUUGACAGAGCUAUUGUCCUCCUCAACCCGACAAGACAGCCACAGCAUCUUAAGAGGAGGAGCCUCUCAGGAGAAGACCUGGCUGUCAACUCAACACAUACCGCUCUCCACAGUUAGGAGGAUGUUUCAUGAAGUCAGGGAUGUUACCCCUUCACUGCAGUAUCCCCAGCACUAGAAGGGUCGUCAGGACAAGGCAACUGCAGGCGCGAGACCGAGGGGGACGCAACCCGGACAGAACCGGUCCUCCUAGGUCUCCCACCACUGCAGCCUCAGCUCUGCGCAGCCACCCAGGCUCUGCGGGACCGGCCCGCACACUUGCCGCGCCAGCCGGUGGGAACCGGACUCCGGACCCUCCCUAAGGCCCAGAACGAAGGAAAAGCGAGAGGGCGGCGCCGGCUGCAGGUCAGCGCCCCGCGGUGCUCAGCGCGGCCUCUGUGCGGACCACAGCCUCAGCCAGGCCGGGUUCAGAGAACCGCACUCACCCCACUCCGGUCCCCGCCCCGCGGCCAGGACCUACUCACCCUGGGCCGCUAUCCCGGACCGCGCGCAGAGGGCGCCGGGAGCAGGCGGUCCGGUUCCGGCCCGCCCCCGGAAACGGGUCUCAGCGCCGCUCUAGGAAGCUCGGAGGACCACGCGCCUCGGUGGGCGCCUUUUGGCUCCUACGGCGCGAGGCUGGUGAUGGAAGAGGGCCGCUGAGGGCGGGGCGCUGUUCUGGACCUGAUCUCCCGUGAACUCCCAAAUCCGAGGGGCGAGCCCGCUGCGGGAGUCGGGGAUCCCGGCGCAGAGCCCCCAAGCCUGAGAGCAGACGCGUCCACGCGAGACCUCGAGAAAGGUCAAUGGAAAAGUCGAGCAUCAUUCCAGGCAACCGGGUGCUGAGGCAGCGUCCUUUCUCUUUCAAUUUUUUGUUGUUAGAUAAUUAUAAAAUCAUGCAAGUUGCAAAGGCA